rnacentral:rRNA from 1 species
GAUGAACGCUGGCGGCGUGCUUAACACAUGCAAGUCGAACGAGAAGUGAAGACGGAAACCUUCGGGCGGAAGGCUUUAUUUCGAGUGGCGGACGGGUGAGUAACGCGUGGGUAACCUGCCUCAUACAGGGGGAUAACAGUUGGAAACGACUGUUAAUACCGCAUAAGACCACAGCACCGCAUGGUGCGGGGGUAAAAACUCCGCUGGUAUGAGAUGGACCCGCGUUCGAUUAGCCGGUUGGCGGGGUCACGGCCCACCAGAGCGACGAUGGAUAGCCGAUGGGGGAGGAGGACCGGCCACAUUGGGACUGAGACACGGCCUAAACUCCUACGGGAGGGAGCAGUGGGGAAUAUUGCACAAUGGGGGAAACCGUGAUGCAGCGACGCCGCGUGAGUGAAGAAGUAUUUCGGUAUGUAAAGCUCUAUCAGCAGGGAAGAAAAUGACGGUACCUGAGUAAGAAGCCCCGGCUAACUACGUG